rnacentral:rRNA from 1 species
CCAUUCAUUCAAAGAGUGCGUAACAGCUCACUAGUCGAGGGUCUGUGCGUGGAUAAUAAUCGGGUAUGAAACAUGCCGCCGAAGCCACGGGAUUCACUAUUAUUUAGUGGAUCGGUAGGGGAGCAUUCCAUUUUCGGUGAAGGUAUUCCGUGAGGAGUGCUGGAGAUCAUGGAAAAGCAAAUGUAGGUAUAAGUAACGAUAAGGGGGGUGGGAUGCCCCCCCGCCGUAAGGUCAAGGUUUCCUGAACAACGUUAAUCGGUUCAGGGUUAGCCGGGUCCUAAGGAUAAGCCGAAGGGCGAAGCCGACGGAUGAAACGGUUAAUAUUCCGUUGCCGGCUUAUAUAAGUGAUGCGGUGAAGGAGCAGUGAAACUCUCGCGCCCUGACGGAACAGGGCGUUGAAGCACGAAGGCGUUAUGGUUCCGUAGUAAAGUACGCGGGAUUAGUCGAAGUGCGACAGUACGCAGACCCUUCGGGGCGAGCGACAGUAGAGGUAAUGGCUUCCGAGAAAACCCGCUAAACGUUAAUAUAUAAGCCGCCCGUACUGUAAACGGACACACGUGACCGGGUAGAACAUACUAAGGCGCUAGGGAGACUCACGGUUAAGGAACUAGGCAAAAUGACCCUGUAACUUCGGGAGAAAGGGUGCCUCGAAAGAGGCCGCAGAGAAUAGGCCCAAGCAACUGUUUAGCAAAAACACAGGUCUAUGCAAAACCGCAAGGUGAAGUAUAUGGGCUGACGCCUGCCCGGUGCUGGAAGGUUAAGGGGAGAGGUUAGCGCAAGCGAAGCUUUGAACUUAAGCCCCAGUAAACGGCGGCCGUAACUAUAACGGUCCUAAGGUAGCGAAAUUCCUUGUCGGGUAAGUUCCGACCCGCACGAAAGGCGUAAUGAUUUGGGCACUGUCUCGACAAUGCACCCGGUGAAAUUGAAAUACCAGUGAAGAUGCUGGUUACCUGCGCCAGGACGGAAAGACCCCAUGGAGCUUUACUCCAGCUUGAUACUGGGAUUCGGUACUACCUGUACAGGAUAGGUGGGAGGCUAUGAUCACGGGACGCCAGUUUCGUGUGAGCCGCUGUUGGGAUACCACCCUUGUAGUACUGGAUUCCUAACCUACAGCCGUGAACCGGCUGGGGGACAAUGUCUGGCGGGGAGUUUGACUGGGGCGGUCGCCUCCGAAAGGGUAUCGGAGGCGCUCAAA